rnacentral:lncRNA from 10 species
AGCACUCAUAUAUAUGGUCACAAUGAGAAACAUAUAUCAAUACUUUAUAUUUAUAAAAUAGAAAAAAAUCAGGAUGUACAUAUUUAUUUAUACCUGGUGUCAUGCAAAAGACUUUGACAAUAUCCUAGUAGUUCUUGUUUCUUCAGCUGUUACAAGAAAUGGUUUAAAAUUCUGUCUUCCAAUCAGAUCACUUCUCAGGUGAGAUCCAGUUGGUUAAUGUCUCUCUUAAAGUUUAAACAAUGAUGACUUAUGAGUAAGUCUUGGGAAUUGUUCUGUUGAUUUCUUUUUUAAAAAAUAAAUUUUAUUGUAUAUAUUUAAAGUAAACAACAUGAUCUAAGAUAAAUACACAUAUACACACACAUAUACAUAUAUGUUAAAAUGGUUACUACAGUGGGACAAAUUCAUCAUCUUACAUAGUUACUCAUUUUUUUUUUUUUUUGCCCUGUGGCAUGCGCAGUUAUAGUCCAUUCA